rnacentral:tRNA from 1 species
GAGGGUGUAGCUCAGUGGUGGAGCGUGUGCUUAGCAUGCACGAGGCCCUGGGUUCAGUCCCCAGCACCUCCA